GACGAACGCUGGCGGCGUGCUUAACACAUGCAAGUCGAACGGAAAGGCCCCGCUUUUGUGGGGUGCUCGAGUGGCGAACGGGUGAGUAACACGUGAGUAACCUGCCCUUGACUUUGGGAUAACUUCAGGAAACUGGGGCUAAUACCGGAUAGGAGCUCCUGCUGCAUGGUGGGGGUUGGAAAGUUUCGGCGGGUGGGGAUGGACGCGCGGCUGAUCAGCUUGUUGGUGGGGUAGGGGCUUACCAAGGCUUGGACGGGUACCCGGCAUGGGAGGGUGACCGGCCACAUUGGGACUGAGAUACGGACCAGACUGCUACGGGAGGCAGCAGUGGGGAAUAUUGCACAAUGGGCGGAAGCCUGAUGCAGCAACGCUGCGUGCGUGAUGACGGCCUGCGGGUUGUAAACCGCUUUCGCCUGUGACGAAGCGUGAGUGACGGUAAUGGGUAAAGAAGCACCGGCUAACUACGUG
rnacentral:rRNA from 1 species